UUACAGUCUGUGAUAAAACACUUUUUGUACAUGUUGUUGAAACGUUAUGGAUAUUAGAAAGUUUUUCAAAAGACCACUCAGCUCCGUUCAAGCAACAGCAUCGCCCAGUGAACUGACGGAUGGUGUUGUUUCAGGUUGGUGAUUUCACGUUAAGAGCUUUCAGUCAGUUAGGCAGGCUAACGUUAGGCUACUUGGCUAGCUCCCUACAUGCUUAACGUUAACGUUAAAUAUGAGCUACAACCAGG